rnacentral:rRNA from 1 species
UGAGUAACACGUAUCCAACCUGCCGUCUACUCUUGGACAGCCUUCUGAAAGGGAGAUUAAUACAAGAUGGCAUCAUGAGUCCGCAUGUUCACAUGAUUAAAGGUAUUCCGGUAGACGAUGGGGAUGCGUUCCAUUAGAUAGUAGGCGGGGUAACGGCCCACCUAGUCUUCGAUGGAUAGGGGUUCUGAGAGGAAGGUCCCCCACAUUGGAACUGAGACACGGUCCAA